rnacentral:rRNA from 1 species
UACAGAGGGUGCGAGCGUUGUUCGGAAUUACUGGGCGUAAAGCGCGCGCAGGCGGCUUUUUAAGUCCGACGGUGAAAUGCCGGGGCUCAACCCCGUGCCCGCCGCGGAUACUGGGAAGCUGGAGACGAGUAGAGGCAAGCGGAAUUCCGGGUGUAGCGGUGGAAUGCGUAGAUAUCGGGAGGAACACCAGUGGCGAAGGCGGUUACCUGGAGCUUUGCUGACGCUGAUGCGCGAAAGCGUGGGGAGCGAUCCGG